AAUCAGCGUGACCCAAAUCAUGAGGGUAUCUACAGUUCACUGUGCGAGAGGUAUCUUUAAGAGAUUUAAGUUAAGUGCUCAAAUAAAGAGAUUCAUAUCAAUCGAAUUGAAGCGUCCUCGAAAUGUAGAAGCACUAAGAAAUAUUUGUGUCCCUAAUUUUGGAAAUAAGAAGCAUUCUAGUGUCAAGAAGUGAUUCCCAUCAUCUUAAUCACAUCUCAGUUACGCAUUAGGUCAAACUAGCAACUGAUCAUUAUUCUUUGAAAUUUUUAAUGAACUUAGAGAAGUAGGAAGAUCUUUGCCUGUAACUAUUUAAGUUUUUGGUCAAUUUUAAAAGUUAAAUCAUUCGUUCAUUGAAACUUUCUUGUCUUUAAUCAAUAAUGAUAGAAUGGCCACCUCUGCAAGAAAUCCCGUCGAACAAAGUGAAAAGCCUCUCUACAGAGGCGGGUUAGCCAAUACCUAUUCCUUCUUUAUAUUUUUUGAAAGACAAGAUCGGCUUUUUUUUUCAGUAAUUUAUAACUGUUAUUUUCUUCUAUCAGUGCUGAAAGCGGGAAGACAGCUGAUGCACGAGUGUAUGAAAGUUUGAAUCAGCGUGACCCAAAUCGUGAUGAAGGCAUCUACAGUUCACUGUGCGAGAGGAUGCCUUUAACUUGAAAAAGUUCCAAGGAGCCUGUUACAAGGAAUGACACCUCUUAAUACUACAUGUAACUUUUUCUUAUGUUUAUUUCUACAAUCAGAGACAAGAAUCGAAGACUUGCAAUACAACUGCUAAUUAUAGUUUUGGAGAAAAAUUAGAUACGGAAAGGAGAAAAUUGAUCAAGCAUUUUAACAUAUUGUACCUUCUCAAGAAUCUCCCGAUAUUUCCUCUUUUUGAACAUUUGAAUAAGAGCUUUUCUUCCUUAAAAGAAAAUCAACAUUUGUUCCAACAUUAAAUUUCACAGUUUUAUGGCAAGUCUUGAGUUAUAUUCAUGUAAAUUAAUAUCAAUUAUGACAAUAGUACCGAUAGAAGUAAUGUCAAUGUUAGUAACAUAAAUAAAAACAAUAAGAAGUAAAGUAAAAGCAAUAAUAAAAAUAAUGCACAGGUAGAGUUGAGGUUUUUUUUUCCUACGCAGAAAUUUGGUUAUUGAAAAUACUACUGUGAAGUAACCAGAAGCUAAUGAAAUUCUGGCAAGUUCUGUUGUACAUGUACCUCAUGUGAAGCCUUUAACCUUAUAACUCUCAUUAGUCAUCAAGACAUAAUGUCUCUUCACAAUAUCAACUCGAUAUCAAGCAGAGAAGUGGUGAAAAUAAAGAAAAAUAUAAAUUAAGGGAGUCUUAGUUGAUCCAAUACCAAAUUCUUCAAACUAACAUCAUAAGGAUUUUAUGGCAGACAUUAAGGAGAAACAUUAAUGAGAUCUAGACACCAAAAGCAUAUUCAAGAGUGGCUCAUGGAGAUACUGUGACACUUAAAAUGGAGUUAGUAAUGCAAAGUUCACAAAUAAAGCAUGAGUUCAUACAAAAUAAUUUAAAAACAAUGUACAUAAAAACAAAAUAAA